rnacentral:rRNA from 1 species
UUCCUACGGGAGGCAGCAGUGGGGAAUAUUGGGCAAUGGGCGCAAGCCUGACCCAGCAACGCCGCGUGAAGGAAGAAGGCUUUCGGGUUGUAAACUUCUUUUCUCAGGGACGAGGCAAGUGACGGUACCUGAGGAAUAAGCCACGGCUAACUACGUGCCAGCAGCCGCGGUAAUACGUAGGUGGCAAGCGUUAUCCGGAAUUACUGGGUGUAAAGGGUGUGUAGGCGGGGCUGCAAGUCCGAUGUGAAAAUUAUGGGCUCAACCCAUAACCUGCGUCUGAAACUGUAGCCCUUGAGAGUGGGAGG